rnacentral:rRNA from 1 species
UGCCCUUAGGUCUGGCAUAACCCCGGGAGACUGGGGAUAAUUCCGGAUAGAUCAUAGAUGCUGGAAUGCGCUGUGAUCCAAAGCUAUUGUGCCUAAGGAUGGGUCUGCGGUCUAUCAGGUUGUAGUGGGUGUAAUGUACCUACUAGCCUACGACGGAUACGGGUUGUGGGAGCAAGAGCCCGGAGAUGGAUUCUGAGACAUGAAUCCAGGCCCUACGGGGCGCAGCAGGCGCGAAAACUUUACAAUGCGGGGAACCGCGAUAAGGGGACACCGAGUGCCAGCAUCCUAUGUUGGCUGUCCAUAUGUCUAAAUCACAUGUGUUAGCAAGGGCCGGGCAAGACCGGUGCCAGCCGCCGCGGUAACACCGGCGGCCCGAGUGGUGGCCACUAUUAUUGGGUCUAAAGGGUCCGUAGCCGGUUUGGUCAGUCUUCCGGGAAAUCUGACGGCUUAACCGUUAGGCUUUCGGGGGAUACUACCAGGCUUGGGACCGGGAGAGGUAAGAGGUACUACGGGGGUAGGAGUGAAAUCUUGUAAUCCCUGUGGGACCACCAGUGGCGAAGGCGUCUUACCAGAACGGACCUGACGGCAAGGGACGAAAGCUAGGGGCACGAACCGGAUUAGAUACCCGGGUAGUCCUAGCCGUAAACGAUACUCGCUAGGUGUCGGCCACGGUGCGACCGUUGUCGGUGCCGUAGGGAAGCCGUGAAGCGAGCCACCUGGGAAGUACGGCCGCAAGGCUGAAACUUAA